rnacentral:rRNA from 1 species
UACAGAGGUCUCGAGCGUUGUUCGGAUUCAUUGGGCGUAAAGGGUGCGUAGGUGGCGCUGUAAGUCGGGUGUGAAAUCCUGAGGCUUAACCUCGGAACUGCAUUCGAUACUGCGGCGCUUGAGGACUGGAGAGGAGACUGGAAUUCAUGGUGUAGCAGUGAAAUGCGUAGAGAUCAUGAGGAAGACCAGUGGCGAAGGCGGGUCUCUGGACAGUUCCUGACGCUGAGGCACGAAAGCGUGGGGAGCAAACAGG